GCGGGGCCCGGCCCAUUCUGGCCUGCCCGAAGCACAUUCCCACAGUUCUCAGUUCCCCUUCGUGAGUGGAAGAGCUCCAGCCCCAAUGGCCGCCAUGACGCUGCUCGGCCCUGCCCGACGGUAGCCGAUCCAGCGGCUCCUUGACCUUUCCCGGGGUGGGGAUGCUGGGGGCAAGGAAUCUGGGGUGCUGCGGUGGGCCUGGGGGCACCCGGGGCCUUCCAGGGGGCUUGUUUCUGGGCGGGAGGCCCCAGCCAUCUACUGUCUUUGAGCUGGGUUUCAGCCCCCUCGUCCGGCUGGUGUAGGUCACAGGCCCUCUUGCGGGGCAGAGUUGAGCUGGGACAGACGGACGCUGGGCCUGAGACCACGGCUCUUGCUGCUUGGGAACCGCAGGCAGGACUGGCGCUGCAGCAGAGGAUUGUUCUAGGAAGAGACAGAAGACAGCGCAUGGGACACCCGUUUCAAAUCAUGAACAAGCUGUCUCACGAUGGGUGCAGAGCGGGUUGGUUCUUUUCGUCCCCAGAUAGAGACUGUCCCACCGUCUCCAUCAGAAAUGGAUGCUGGGGCGCAGAGGGCAAGGCGCGUGUCCCAGGCUACUCAGCGGGCAAGUGUCUGGACCGGGAGUCAGGGUUUCCCGACACCCAGUCCCCUUGUCUGUCCAUCUGACUGGCUCUGGCUCCAUCUCAUCCACCUGUCUCCUUCCCAGGGAGGACACAAGUUUCCCAGCCCCAGGGACAAGGCAGGAAGCCAGGCUGGCAUGAAGCUUUAGGGGGACGCAGGCCUUGGACCCCAGAGCUGCCAGACCUGGUCGUCAGUAGCCCAGGUCCCCCUCCGCGGCCCCAGGAGGAGGCUCUGCCUGCCCCACUCCAUGCCUCCCACCAAGUCCCAGCUGAAGCAGAGCCCUGGCUCCCACCCUCACCCCAGCCCCAGGCAGUGGGCUGCGUUUCACCUAACUGCUCUGAAUGUCAGAAUCCUCUUCCGUGGAUUGUCAGUCCUCAGACACAGAGCACCCACUCCAUGCCAGCCGCAGCAGGUGCAAACUAUCUCUGGAGCCAGGACAUGGCGCCUGCCCACAGUCCUAUGCGGAAGGCAGAUGAGUGACAAGAUGCUGAGGACUCUGGGAGGGAGACUGAGGCUGGGGGACCCCAGGAGAAGGUGACGGGUGCUUCCCGGGGUAAGGAGGGGCCCCUCAGGUGGGAUAGGAAAGAGGUUCCCAACAAAAGCCGGGAGGACAGGCUCUCCAUGCCGAGUCCCAUCCCUGGGCCUGGGCUCUAGUGGUUCCCACAGUUCAAGUCAAGUGCCCUUUCUUCCUCUGGGCCCGGUGAACUCCUAUUCAUCUGUCAGGGCCCAUGGACAUACCAUAGUAUGACCAGGCCUGGCCUAGCUUCAUGGCUCCUUGCCUCCUUCUUCCUACCCGGAAGCCAGGCCUCCUUGGUCACGACGCCCUCGCCAGCCCCACCCAGGCAGGCAUCUGCUCCCGGGCUGGAGCCCCCGCCGUCCUCUGCUCCGAAAAGCACCGUUUCCCUUUUCUGGGUGACCACACGCCAUGCACAGGGAAUUUCCAUCUCACCCUGCGGAGCCUCUGAUUCACCCAGGCCCCUAAUGCAUUUAACUCCUUCCGGGUCCAGGCCUGUCUACUCCUUGCCCCUCGCACUUGCCCAGGGACCCCUAGUCUGCUUCAGACUAGCCUGGAAUCCCACAGCCUGGAAACGAAGCCAGUGAGGGAAACGUGCACUAAUUGGAAGCCUACUGUAUACAAGGGGAAGGCUCACACAGAUUGUCUCUUUCUGCCUUCUGGACCAUGCUGCGGCUGAGUCUUGUUGGCACCUCUACAGAAUCAAGGCCUCUGAGCUUUGGGGAGGGGAAGGGGCUACACAGCC
ensembl:lncRNA